rnacentral:lncRNA from 1 species
UCUAGCUGAACUUUGUAACAAUUCGAACAGCGUGAGAAGUCUCCUGGCCAGAACUCGGGGGAGGACACAAAUCUCCUGCACAGUUAAUAUCCAGAGUCACACGUGGAGAGGAAGCAUCACAAUGAGACCAUACAACCAUAUAAUCUGUUCAAGUCCUAGAAGGUGUUGGCAGAGCUGCAGGACUGACCUAGGUCAAUGGCUGUGGGGGAAGAAAAGACACCAGAUGUUUCCGAUCAAGAGACAAGAGAAACAUUCAGCGUGACCCUAGAAAAUCUUUCUAAAGAGAUUUCACAACACUCAGCUCAUGUUUCGGGUCCAUGAAACCAUCUUUAGAUGAAUGAUGCCUUGUUACCUGUGAGAGGAAGUGAGCAGCGAGGAGUCCUGUCAGUUCCGGAAGGAGUAUUUGGGUUACUGUUCUUCAUUGUCUGCAGUUCUGUCUUGCUCAGUCGCCCAGGCUGAAGUGCAGUGGUGUGA